AUCCAGAGAGUUAUCAUAGCCUGCCCCAUGAAAUUGUGGUCAAUCUUGCUGCUUUUUUUGAACUUUGUGAUGCAUUGAUCUUGCUCUGGGUACAGUCUCCACAGGGGAUGGUGUCUGAUGCUAAUGUCCACGAGAUUCUAGAUUCUGUGCAGUGGCGGGACCGGUUUUGGACUGUGGCUGAUGCAGUUAAAGUGGAUGCUCCAGGUCUGGCUUUGCUUGCCCUCCAUUGGCACUGGGUUUUAAAACAUUUGGUCCUCCAGAUUCCCCAACUCCUGAUGAAUCAUGAAGACAAGUAAGAGUCCUAUUAGAAUAAUAACGUUAAUACCUAAGAGGGUUUGAAAUUAAAACUUUCUUCUUGCUUUUUUUUUUUUUUGGUUUAUUCCCUUGGCAUAUUGGUGAAUAUAGUAAAAUAAAAUGUAAAUAAUUUCUCUUCCUAGCUAACAUUUUUCCUAAUCCCUCUCUCCCUUUUUUCUUUACAGAUAUUACAAAGAGGUUCAGACAGUCUCAGAACAUAUUCAGAAUUGUCUGGGUAGCCCAACUGGUGGCUUCACUGGUAUAAAGAAAUUGCAGAAGUUCCUGGGACGACCAUUUCCUUUUAAGGACAAGCUAGUGAUGGAAUGUUUUUCACAACUGAAAGUCCUUAACAAAGCCCUUGCCAUCAGGGAAUGGAUGCCUGUCCUUGGUGAGAGUGGAUGGCAGGAAGACAUGCAUCGUCUCCAAGUGAUUGCUUUGGAAUGGACAUUAAAGAAAAAUCUCCUGCAGUCCUGGGCCAUGAUCCUGAGGGCCAAUAUUCUGGAAGAUGUCAACCUGGAUGAACUGAAGAAUCUUGUGAGUGUUCAGUGUUCAGAACUGAAAGCUAAAGGUCUUCCACUUGGUUUUCUGGAAGAAAAAGUUGGAGAAGCUUCCUCCUUGUCCCAGCCAGAUUUUACCUCUUUAAUCCAACUCACCAGGAGUGUUCAGUUGUGGCCUGCAAUGGAGUACUUGGCUAUUCUUUGGCGGUACAAAGUGACAGCUGAUUUUAUGACACAGGUCUGUCUGACAAGGUCUAGUAAAAAUCAACAACCUUGGAUAGAUGAGGAGAUAAGUCAUCAUAUCACAUUUUGUCUUAAACACACACCAGUGGCUUCUCAAGAACUUCUAGAUCUUUGGUCUUUGCUGCAUUAUAAGAAGGUGUUUGCUGAAGAAAUUACUUGUUUGUGGUCUGAGUUAUUUAAUUCCACAUUUACAUCUUUCUGGAGCAGUACUGUCACCACAAAUCCAGAGUUCUGGCUAACGUGGAACCCUCUGCUUGGUAUGCAGCAGAAAGAGGUACCCAAGUCCCUUUUGGACUCCACGUUGAAGGGCCCUGGCAGUUUCUGUACAGCUGUGUUCUCGAAGUGCUGCUUUGAAAUCUUGACCAACAGCUGCAGAGCAGGUCCCUGGGAUGUGAGCGGCCUUCCUAUUCUGUCCUCCUCACAUGUCACCCUGGGAGAGUGGGUUGAGAGAGUCCAGCAGCUCCAGGACAUUAAUUCAUUGCUUUGGACCAACCUGGCUGUCCCUUCAGUAGCAGAAUUCAGACGCACAGAUUCCCAGCUGCAGGGGCUAGUGCUGUGUCGGCACCUGAUGGGCCUUGCAGAGCUGUUCCCAGAGCCCCGGCGGCAGGAGUACAUGCAGAACUGUGAGCAGCUGCUGCUUGGGGACAGCCAGGCCUUCCAGCACAUUUGCCAGACUCUUGGGGACUUGGCUGGUCAUGAGGCACUGCCCAAGGAAUUGCUCUGUCUCUUGCUUACUUCCCUGCACUACCUUUUUGGAGAAGGGGAGAGUAAGAGGAACUUGUCAGAGCCUGCCCAGCGUGGGAGCCUCUGGGUGAGCCUUGGCUUGCUCCAGAUUGAAACUUGGCUUCCCCAGACACGCUUCGACCCUGCAGUGAAGAGAGAAUACAAGCUCAAGUAUGCCAAGGAGGAGUUACAUCAGCUGCAAUGUGAGCAAAAGAUCCGAAAUCUGUCAUCCCAGCUGCAAACUGGAAGAGACCUGGCAGAUGAAGUGAUUGUCAGUUACUCUCAUCCUCAUGUCAGGUAA
rnacentral:lncRNA from 1 species